ensembl:snoRNA
GGCCUCCUGGUGCUUACCAAGGCUGUCUUCUUACACUGACUGAAGCAGAGAAAGAGGAAGCAGAGUAAACCUAUACCAUGUGCACCCCAGCCCAGGCCCUGUGUGUGUGCCUGGUCUGUAUUGUAAAUGCAGGGAAAUGG